ensembl:lncRNA
GGGGAGGAGGAGGAGCAGUGGGAGGAAGAGGGGGAGGUGAUAUAGGAGGAGGGGGAAGGGGAGGGUAUAAUCACUGGACGACCCAGCAGAGACCUAGAACCACAGAGAGAGAGAGACAGGGGUUGGGGGAAAGAGAGAGUGUGUGUGUCUGCGCCUACAUGUGUGUUUGUGCAUGUGUGUCUGUGCAUAUGCGUGCGGGCGUGUGUGUGUGUGCGUGUCUGUGCGUAUGCAUGUAUGUGUGUGUGUAUCGUCGUAUGCAUGUCUGUGUGCGUGGGUGUGUGAACACUGAUGAUAAGAGAGUAUAGGGGGAGAGGGGACAGAUUGAUUUAUGGAUUAAACUCCGUCAGGGUUUGGGAUCAAAACUCAAGAAAGGGAGAGUGAUUUAGACAGAGUGAGAAGUUGUGAGGGAGUGAGAGACGGAGGAAGGUUAUGGGAGUGAAGUAGACCGCCUCAGAGCACAGGAUUCAAAGAGUGAGUGGUGCCCAGCCGUCACAAUGCUUGAGAACAUGUCCCGGCGUGGGCGGUCCCUGGUGUCUCUGUCUCUCACCUCAUUGGCCCUCACGCUGUCCGUCAUGGCCUUCUGCACCUCCUAUUGGUGCGAGGGGACGCACAAGGUGGUCAAGCCCCUCUGCCUGUCCCCUGUCAAGAUGAAGAACUGUGGACAGAACAUCAGCCAGCCCUACACCACAGGUAACAUAUCUAACUAGCUAACUAACUAACUAACUAACACAGCCCUACACCACAGGUAACAUAUCUAACUAACUAACUAACUAACUAACACAGCCCUACACCACAGGUAACAUAGCUAACUAACUACUUACACAGCCCUACACCACAGGUAACAUAGCUAACUAGCUAACUAACUAACUAACUAACACAGCCCUACACCACAGGUAACAUAUCUAACUAGCUAACUAACUGACUAACUAACACAGCCCUACACCACAGGUAACAUAGCUAACUAACUACUUACACAGCCCUACACCACAGGUAACAUAGCUAACUAGCUAACUAACUAACACAGCCCUACACCCCAGGUUAUAUAGCUAACUACUAACUAACACAGCCCUACACCACAGGUAACAUAGCUAACUGGCUAACUAACUAACACAGCCCUACACCACAGGUAACAUAGCUAACUAGCUACCUAAAACAGCCCUACACCACCGGUAACAUAGCUAAGUAGCUAACUAACUAACUAACACAGCCCUACAGCACAGGUAACAUAGCUAGCUUGCUAACUAACUAACUAACAUUGCCCUACAUCACAGGUAACAUACCUAACUAGGGUUACAUGCUGCCAGUCCGACAUGCCGCCAUUUCGACAUGCCCCCAUCCCGACACCUUUCAGUACCGCCAUUCCGAAAGUCUAUCAAUCAGUAACGCCAAGAGGUCAACAUUGGGGGAUCAUAAAUAUUUUGUUCAAAUGUGUUCAACCAAAAAGUAGCCAUGUCAGUAUUAUUUAUCUGUAGCCUAAUUUAUUUGAUUCAUUCCAAAUCUUAGUUGGGAUGAUGUAUAAAAUAACCCAUUCCAUCAAUUGACGACAUGCAUUAUACAAGUGUGUUUCGAGUGGCGGGGCGUGCACUAAUUAAACAUGCCCUGGGAAUGUAUAAAUAUUCUAUGAAACUUAAAACUGGACCAUUUAUUGGUUAGAGUUGGAUUUAAACUCAAUGCAGGACUGCCUUCAGAUGCUCCCAGAGUGUCUCAAGGAGAUAAAUUACUGGAUGGGGGAUCAUUUCCUCCAACUAAACAAUAGCAAAACAGAAGUUAUCAUCAUUAACCCCUCCAAAUUCAAAACACCCAUCUUCACUGACCUAGGUAGUCUAACCUCAUUCCUAAAACCAUCUGCUAGAAACCUCAGCGUUAUUUUUGAUUCUGAUCUAUGCUUUAAUAAGCAAAUCAACU